rnacentral:tRNA from 1 species
GCUCAGUUGGCUAAGCAUCCUAAGCAUCCGACUUCAGCUCUGGUCAUGAUCUCACAGCUUGUGGGUUCAAGCCCCGCAUUGGGCU